UUGGGAAUCUUGCACAAUGGGGGAAACCCUGAUGCAGCGACGCCGCGUGGAGGAUGACGGAUCUAGGUCUGUAAACUCCUUUUUCAGGGAAAGACUUAGGACGGUACCCUGAGAAUAAGCUCCGGCUAACUACGUGCCAGCAGCCGCGGUAAGACGUAGGGAGCAAGCGUUGUCCGGAUUUACUGGGCGUAAAGGGCGCGUAGGCGGUCUGUUAAGUGAGUACUAAAAUCUCCAGGGCUCAACCCGGAAACCGGUUCUCAUACUGACAGACUUGAGGAAGGCAGAGGUAACUGGAAUUCCUGGUGUAGCGGUGAAAUGCGUUGAUAUCAGGAGGAACUCCAAUGGCGAAGGCAGGUUACUGGGCCUUAUCUGACGCUGAGGCGCGAAAGCGUGGGUAGCAAACAGGAUUAGAUACCCCCGUAGUCCCUGAGCGGGCUGGCAAGGCGCAU
rnacentral:rRNA from 1 species